UUUUCAAGAUUGACAAGGGUCCAGGCCUGAGGACAUUUCUAGGCCAAAAUCGACUUUUGGUCAUAGCGCCCCCCGCUGGCAACAGGAAAUCAGCGUUAUAUGACAAACAUCUUCCAAAUUACAUGAAACUUAUAAUGUGAGGUCUACAUGUG